CCGGCUCCCGCCGCCGGCGACCGGCACUUCCACCGGCUCCCGGGCCCCCGAGGGGUCGGGCGGGCGGCGCACGUGCAAAGGGCCUCCUCCGCGCCCCGCCCCCCGCCCAGGCCUCUGUGACGUCCGCGCCGGAACCUGGAAUUUCGGCUCCGGGAGCUGGCGGCGGCGGCGGCGGCCAGAGCGGGGCCCCGACGGCCUCUCCGGGGCGCAGGGCGCAGCCAUGAGCGAGUCCAGUGCCAGUGCGCUCCCGCCAGGCAGGCCCGGCAGGCAGCCCUUCAGCCACCCAGAGAACCUCUCGUUGGACUCCAGUUGCUUUUCCUCUCCACCUGUGAAUUUCCUUCAAGAAUUGCCAAGCUAUCGGUCCAUUGCACGCAAGAGGACGACCAUUCCUACCCGAGAGAAGCAAAGUGGCACUUUGCUAAAGCCGACAGACUCUUACAGCUCCCAGUUGGAGGGAGGAAUCACUGAAAACCUCAAUAGCCAAUCGAUUCGGAAGUAUGCACUGAACAUCUCUGAGAAGCGGAGGCUAAGGAACAUUCAGGAGACCCAGAUGAAGUAUUUAUCUGAAUGGGACCAGUGGAAACGGUAUAGCAGCAAGUCUUGGAAGAGGUUCAUAGGGAAGGCUCGCGAGAUGACGACCCACCUGGAGCUGUGGCGGGACGACAUUCGCAGCAUAGAAGGGAAGUUUGGCACUGGGAUUCAGUCCUAUUUCUCCUUCUUGCGGUUUCUGGUGUUGCUGAACUUGGUGAUCUUUCUGAUUAUCUUUAUGCUGGUUUUGCUCCCCGUCUUGCUCACCAAAUACAACAUCACCAACAGCACCUUUGUGCUCAUUCCGUCCAAAGACACGGAUGUUCAAUGCACAGUGUAUCCAAUAAGUAGUUCUGGACUCAUUUACUUUUAUAGUUAUAUCAUAGACUUGCUCUCUGGCACUGGUUUUUUGGAGGAGACCUGCCUCUUUUAUGGACAUUACACCAUUGAUGGGGUGAAAUUUCAGAACUUCACCUAUGAUCUGCCCCUGGCUUAUUUGUUAAGCACGAUUGCCUACCUGGCCCUGAGUCUUCUUUGGAUAGUGAAAAGGUCAGUGGAAGGGUUCAAAAUCAACCUGAUCCGGAGCGAGGAGCACUUUCAGAGUUACUGCAACAAGAUCUUUGCUGGCUGGGACUUCUGCAUCACCAACCGUAGCAUGGCGGACCUGAAGCACAGCAGCCUGCGGUAUGAGCUCCGGGCAGAUCUGGAGGAAGAAAGAAUACGGCAGAAGAUAGCAGAGAGGACCUCGGAAGAAACGAUACGGAUUUACUCUUUGAGACUGUUUUUGAACUGCAUUGUUCUGGCUGUUUUAGCUGCAUGCUUUUAUGCAAUUUAUAGAGCAACGAUAUUCUCACAAGAGCACAUGAAAAAAGAAAUUGACAAGAUGGUUUUUGGAGAGAACCUUUUGAUAUUGUACCUGCCUUCUAUUGUGAUCACGCUGGCCAAUUUUAUCACCCCAAUGAUCUUUGCCAAAAUCAUCCACUAUGAGGAUUAUUCCCCAGGCUUUGAGAUCCGGCUGACAAUCCUUAGGUGUGUGUUCAUGCGCCUGGCCACCAUCUGUGUGCUGGUAUUCACCCUGGGCUCCAAGAUUACAUCCUGUGAUAACUACUCCUGUGAGCUCUGUGGCUACAACCAGAAACUCUACCCGUGCUGGGAGACCCAAGUUGGACAGGAAAUGUACAAGCUGAUGAUCUUCGACCUCAUCAUCAUCUUGGCCGUGACGCUUUUUGUGGAUUUUCCUAGAAAGCUCCUGGUGACCUACUGUUCCUCAUGGAAACUGGUUCAGUGCUGGGGACAGCAGGAAUUUGCCAUUCCUGAUAACGUUCUGGGGAUUGUUUAUGGGCAAACCAUUUGCUGGAUUGGAGCCUUUUUCUCCCCUCUUCUCCCUGCAAUUGCAACCUUGAAACUCAUUAUCAUCUUUUAUGUGAAAGAGAUAAGUCUUCUUUACACCUGCCGGCCCUCCCCAAGGCAGUUCAGAGCAUCCAAUUCUAAUUUCUUCUUCCUGUUGGUGUUGCUGAUAGGGCUGUGUUUGGCAGUAAUACCUCUGACGAUCAGCAUGGCACGCGUCCCUUCCUCAAAAGCUUGUGGGCCGUUCACCAACUUCAACACCACCUGGGAGGUGGUCCCCAAGACAGUGAGCACCUUUCCCAGCUCACUGCAGUCCCUGGUCCAUGGCGUCACCUCGGAAGCCUUUGCAGUGCCUUUCUUCAUGAUCAUCUGCCUCAUUAUGUUUUAUUUCAUCGCCCUUGCCGGAGCACACAAGCGGGUGGUGGUCCAGCUCCGAGAGCAGCUGUCCCUGGAAAGUCGUGACAAGCGUUAUCUAAUUCAGAAACUAACGGAAGCCCAGAGGGAUAUGAAGAACCGUCUAGACUGGCAGUGAGGAUCCUACUGCGUGUUGCUCAGAAGCUGACCUGCUGAGCCUACAGAGUCCACCUGGGCUCUAAACCUUUCCUCGGGAGUAACCUGGAGUUUAAAGCUGGGUACCUGUUUUGGAAAGCCGUGCUCUGCUAAGAGUAUUCCCAUCCCCACCCCCAACCCGCCAUUACUCAAAACGAUGGACCCCUUGCUCUGAGGAGCAAAGAAUGCUUUCCAUAGUUUACACAUUUCUAUAUAUUUGUCCCUUUGCCAGAUCAUUUUCUUGCUGUUCCCCAAAGUUACCAUUAACAUGUGAUACUUUUGUACCUGUGAGACAAAUGAGCUUUUCUGGCUAAUAACUAGUAUCACAGAAUUUUGAGUAACCAAAAGUUCACUCUAGCCUCACUUGAAAAAAAUUCUAAUUGUUGGUAUUUUUACCUACUGCACUUAUUUAUAUGUUUUUGCUUUCACCAUGCUUCUGAGAACAGUCAAGUUUGUGUGUGUGUGUGUGUGUGUGUGCGCGUGUGCGCACAUGUGUGUGUACAUAUGUAAGUGUGUGAGAUGGAAACUCCAUUUUCUUUCCCUGUUAUAAAAUUGAUACUGAAGUAUGCUAAUAUAUUCAUUUUGGUUAAAUGCUGCUGAUUUGCAUACCUCUUACUUGAAUGUUUUUAUAUAUUUUGAUAACUUUAAUAACUUCAAGUGAUGUCUGUAUAGUUGUUGAAGUACAGGUCUAACAAAUGUGCCUUAAAACUACUGAUUAAACAGUGUCUUGAAGGUUUUAAAA